UAGGUAUUGGGCGCAGCCUGAUGCAGCCAUGCCGCGUGUAUGAAGAAGGCCUUCGGGUUGUAAAGUACUUUCAGCGGGGAGGAAGGGAGUAAAGUUAAUACCUUUGCUCAUUGACGUUACCCGCAGAAGAAGCACCGGCUAACUCCGUGCCAGCAGCCGCGGUAAUCA
rnacentral:rRNA from 1 species